CAAAAGAAAAUGGAAGCUUGCCUCUUAUGAGUUAGCGGCGGACGGGUGAGUAACACGUGGGUAACCUGCCCAUAAGACUGGGAUAACUCCGGGAAACCGGGGCUAAUACCGGAUAACAUUUUGAACCGCAUGGUUCGAAAUUGAAAGGCGGCUUCGGCUGUCACUUAUGGAUGGACCCGCGUCGCAUUAGCUAGUUGGUGAGGUAACGGCUCACCAAGGCAACGAUGCGUAGCCGACCUGAGAGGGUGAUCGGCCACACUGGGACUGAGACACGGCCCAGACUCCUACGGGAGGCAGCAGUAGGGAAUCUUCCGCAAUGGACGAAAGUCUGACGGAGCAACGCCGCGUGAGUGAUGAAGGCUUUCGGGUCGUAAAACUCUGUUGUUAGGGAAGAACAAGUGCUAGUUGAAUAAGCUGGCACCUUGACGGUACCUAACCAGAAAGCCACGGCUAACUACGUGCCAGCAGCCGCGGUAAUACGUAGGUGGCAAGCGUUAUCCGGAAUUAUUGGGCGUAAAGCGCGCGCAGGUGGUUUCUUAAGUCUGAUGUGAAAGCCCACGGCUCAACCGUGGAGGGUCAUUGGAAACUGGGAGACUUGAGUGCAGAAAGAGGAAAAGUGGAAUUCCAUGUGUAGCGGUGAAAUGCGUAAAAGAUAUGGGAGGAACACCCAGGUGG
rnacentral:rRNA from 1 species